rnacentral:rRNA from 1 species
CAGUCGCCGCGGGAAUACGUAGGGUGCGAGCGUUAAUCGGAUUUACUGGGCGUAAAGCGUGCGCAGGCGGCCCGUUAAGUCAGAUGUGAAAUCCCCGGGCUCAACCUGGGAACUGCAUUUGAGACUGUAUGGCUAGAGUGUGUCAGAGGGGGGUAGAAUUCCACGUGUAGCAGUGAAAUGCGUAGAUAUGUGGAGGAAUACCGAUGGCGAAGGCAGCCCCCUGGGAUAACACUGACGCUCAUGCACGAAAGCGUGGGGAGCAAACAGGAUUAGAUACCCCAGUAGUCCCUGUCUCUUAUAC